GACGAACGCUGGCGGCGUGCUUAACACAUGCAAGUCGAACGAAGAGCGAUGGAAGCUUGCUUCUAUCAAUCUUAGUGGCGAACGGGUGAGUAACGCGUAAUCAACCUGCCCUUCAGAGGGGGACAACAGUGGAAACGACUGCUAAUACCGCAUACGAUCUGACCUCGGCAUCGAGGAUAGAUGAAAGGUGGCCUCUACAUGUAAGCUAUCACUGAAGGAGGGGAUUGCGUCUGAUUAGCUAGUUGGAGGGGUAACGGCCCACCAAGGCGAUGAUCAGUAGCCGGUCUGAGAGGAUGAACGGCCACAUUGGGACUGAGACACGGCCCAGACUCCUACGGGAGGCAGCAGUGGGGAAUCUUCCGCAAUGGACGAAAGUCUGACGGAGCAACGCCGCGUGAGUGAUGACGGCCUUCGGGUUGUAAAGCUCUGUUAAUCGGGACGAAAGGCCUUUCUUGCGAAUAAGUGAGAAAGGA
rnacentral:rRNA from 1 species